CAGCUCAAAUUUGAAAUCUGGCCCUUUCAGGGUCCGAGUUGUAAUUUGCAGAGGGCGCUUUGGCGUCGGCAGCGGUCUAAGUUCCCUGGAACAGGACGUCACAGAGGGUGAGAAUCCCGUACGUGGUCGCCUGCCUUCGCCGUGUAAAGCCCCUUCGACGAGUCGAGUUGUUUGGGAAUGCAGCUCUAAAUGGGAGGUAAAUUUCUUCUAAAGCUAAAUACCGGCCAGAGACCGAUAGCGCACAAGUAGAGUGAUCGAAAGAUGAAAAGCACUUUGGAAAGAGAGUCAAAAAGCACGUGAAAUUGUUGAAAGGGAAACGCUUGCAGCCAGACGUGCCUGCAGUUGCUCAUUCGGGCUCUUGCCCGGUGCACUCUUCUGCAGGCAGGCCAGCAUCAGUUCGGGCGGCUGGAGAAAGACCACUGUCACGUACCCUCCCCUGGGAGGGCCUUAUAGGGGUGGUGCCACACAGCCAGCCCGGACUGAGGUCCGCGCAUCUGCUAGGAUGCUGGCGUAAUGGCGGCAAGCGACCCGUCUUGAAACACGGACCAAGGAGUCUAACAUCUAUGCGAGUGUUUGGGUGUCAAGCCCGGGCGCGCAAUGAAAGUGAACGGAGGUGGGAACCCCCCGGGGCGCACCAUCGACCGAUCCUGAUGUCUUCGGAUGGAUUUGAGUACGAGCAUAGCUGUUGGGACCCGAAAGAUGGUGAACUAUGCUUGAAUAGGGUGAAGCCAGAGGAAACUCUGGUGGAAGCUCGCAGCGGUUCUGACGUGCAAAUCGAUCGUCAAAUUUGGGCAUAGGGGCGAAAGACUAAUCGAACUAUCUA
rnacentral:rRNA from 1 species